UUUAACUGAAGAGUUUGAUCAUGGCUCAGAUUGAACGCUGGCGGCAGGCUUAACACAUGCAAGUCGAGCGGAGAGAGGUAGCUUGCUACUGAUCUUAGCGGCGGACGGGUGAGUAAUGCUUAGGAAUCUGCCUAUUAGUGGGGGACAACAUUUCGAAAGGAAUGCUAAUACCGCAUACGUCCUACGGGAGAAAGCAGGGGAUCUUCGGACCUUGCGCUAAUAGAUGAGCCUAAGUCGGAUUAGCUAGUUGGUGGGGUAAAGGCCUACCAAGGCGACGAUCUGUAGCGGGUCUGAGAGGAUGAUCCGCCACACUGGGACUGAG
rnacentral:rRNA from 1 species